CCCCACACUUUAGCUCAGUUGGUAGAGCAUGAGACUCUUCAUCUCAGGGUCAAGGGUUCGAGCCCCACAUUGGGCA
rnacentral:tRNA from 1 species